rnacentral:rRNA from 1 species
AUUGAACGCUGGCGGCAGGCCUAACACAUGCAAGUCGAACGAGUGGCGGACGGGUGAGUAAUGUCUGGGAAACUGCCUGAUGGAGGGGGAUAACUACUGGAAACGGUAGCUAAUAUCGCAUACCAUCAGAUGUGCCCAGAUGGGAUUAGCUAGUUGGUGGGGUAACGGCUCACCAAGGCGACGAUCCCUAUCUGGUCUGAGAGGAGGACCAGCCACUCUGGAACUGAGCCACGGUCCAGACUCCUACGGGAGGCAGCAUUGGGGAAUGUGGCACAUAGGGCGCAAGCCUGAUGCAGCCAUGCCGCGUGUAUGAAGAAGGCCUUCGGGUUGUAAAGUACUGUCAGCGAGGAGGCGUUACCCGCAGAAGAAGCACCGGCUAACUCCGUGCCAGCAGCCGCGGUAAUUC